UUGACAAUCUUAUCGUGAAGGCAUACUUUCAGGAGUGAGGGUAGAGCGGGGUUUCCCCCGCCCUGGUAGUCUUAGUAUGCUGGGUAGCUAAUCACUAAGAGCACCACGAUGAUGAGUAGCUUCAUCAUGACCCUUUCCUUAUU
rnacentral:sRNA from 90 species